rnacentral:rRNA from 1 species
UACGAAGGGGGCUAGCGUUGCUCGGAAUCACUGGGCGUAAAGGGUGCGUAGGCGGGUCUUUAAGUCAGGGGUGAAAUCCUGGAGCUCAACUCCAGAACUGCCUUUGAUACUGAAGAUCUUGAGUUCGGGAGAGGUGAGUGGAACUGCGAGUGUAGAGGUGAAAUUCGUAGAUAUUCGCAAGAACACCAGUGGCGAAGGCGGCUCAGUGGCCCGAUACUGACGCUGAGGCACGAAAGCGUGGGGAGCAAACAGG